CCUGCGGAAGGAUCAUUAAUGAAUUCACUAUGGAGUUGUUGCUGGCCUCUAGGGGCAUGUGCACGCUUCACUAGUCUUUCAACCACCUGUGAACUUUUGAUAGAUCUGUGAAGUCGUCUCUCAAGUCGUCAGACUUGGUUGCUGGGAUUUAAACGUCUCGGUGUGACUACGCAGUCUAUUUACUUACACACCCCAAAUGUAUGUCUACGAAUGUCAUUUAAUGGGCCUUGUGCCUAUAAACCAUAAUACAACUUUCAACAACGGAUCUCUUGGCUCUCGCAUCGAUGAAGAACGCAGCGAAAUGCGAUAAGUAAUGUGAAUUGCAGAAUUCAGUGAAUCAUCAAAUCUUUGAACGCACCUUGCGCCCCUUGGUAUUCCGAGGGGCAUGCCUGUUUGAGUGUCAUUAAAUUCUCAAACUCACUUUGGUUUCUUUCCAAUUGUGAUGUUUGGAUUGUAGGGGGCUGCUGGCCUUGACAGGUCGGCUCCUCUUAAAUGCAUUAGCAGGACUUCUCAUUGCCUCUGCGCAUGAUGUGAUAAUUAUCACUCAUCAAUAGCACGCAUGAAUAGAGUCCAGCUCUCUAAUCGUCCGCAAGGACAAUUUGACAAUUUGACCUC
rnacentral:rRNA from 1 species